GACGAACGCUGGCGGCGUGCUUAACACAUGCAAGUCGAACGGAAAGGCCAUGCUUUUGUGGGGUGCUCGAUUGGCGAACGGGUGAGUAAAACGUGAGUAACAUGUCCUUGAAUUUGGGAUAACUUCAGGAAACUGGGGCUAAUACCGGGUAGGAGCUCCUGCUGCAUGUGGUGGGUUGGAAAGUGUCGGCGGUUGGGGAUGGACUCGCGGCUUAUCAGCUUGUUGGUGGGGUAGUGGCUUACCAAGGCUUUGACGGGUAGCCGGCCUGAGAGGGUGACCGGCCACAUUGGGACUGAGAUACGGCCCAGACUCCUACGGGAGGCAGCAGUGGGGAAUAUUGCACAAUGGGCGGAAGCCUGAUGCAGCAACGCCGCGUGCGGGAUGACGGCCUUCGGGUUGUAAACCGCUUUCGCCUGUGACGAAGCGUGAGUGACGGUAAUGGGUAAAGAAGCACCGGCUAACUACGUG
rnacentral:rRNA from 1 species